CGCUGGCGGGAUGCUUUACACAUGCAAGUCGAACGGCAGCAUAGAGAGCUUGCUCUCUGAUGGCGAGUGGCGAACGGGUGAGUAAUAUAUCGGAACGUGCCCAGUAAUGGGGAAUAACUAAUUGAAAGAUUAGCUAAUACCGCAUACGACCUACGGGUGAAAGCAGGGGAUCUUUGGACCUUGCGUUAUUGGAGCGGCCGAUAUCUGAUUAGCUAGUUGGUAGGGUAAAAGCCUACCAAGGCGACGAUCAGUAGCUGGUCUGAGAGGACGAUCAGCCACACUGGAACUGAGACACGGUCCAGACUCCUACGGGAGGCAGCAGUGGGGAAUUUUGGACAAUGGGGGAAACCCUGAUCCAGCCAUCCCGCGUGAGUGAAGAAGGCCUUCGGGUUGUAAAGCUCUUUCGGAAGUGAAGAAAACUUAUUUCGUAAUAUGUUAUAAGAAUGACGGUAACUUUAGAAGAAGCACCGGCUAACUACGUGCCAGCAGCCGCGGUAAUACGUAGGGUGCGAGCGUUAAUCGGAAUUACUGGGCGUAAAGCGUGCGCAGGCGGUUUUGUAAGUCAGAUGUGAAAUCCCCGAGCUUAACUUGGGAACUGCGUUUGAAACUACAAGACUAGAGUGUGUCAGAGGGGGGUAGAAUUCCACGUGUAGCAGUGAAAUGCGUAGAGAUGUGGAGGAAUAUCAAUGGCGAAGGCAGCCCCCUGGGAUAACACUGACGCUCAUGCACGAAAGCGUGGGGAGCGAACAGGAUUAGAUACCCUGGUAGUCCACGCCCUAAACGAUGUCAACUGGUUGUUGGUGGAGUAAGAUCCAUGAGUAACGUAGCUAACGCGUGAAGUUGACCGCC
rnacentral:rRNA from 1 species